AUUGAACGCUGGCGGCAUGCCUUACACAUGCAAGUCGAACGGUAACAGGUCUUCGGAUGCUGACGAGUGGCGAAUGGGUGAGUAAUACAUCGGAACGUGCCCGAUCGUGGGGGAUAACGAGGCGAAAGCUUUGCUAAUACCGCAUACGAUCUACGGAUGAAAGCGGGGGAUCUUCGGACCUCGCGCGGACGGAGCGGCCGAUGGCAGAUUAGGUAGUUGGUGGGAUAAAAGCUUACCAAGCCGACGAUCUGUAGCUGGUCUGAGAGGAUGAUCAGCCACACUGGGACUGAGACACGGCCCAGACUCCUACGGGAGGCAGCAGUGGGGAAUUUUGGACAAUGGGCGAAAGCCUGAUCCAGCCAUGCCGCGUGCAGGAUGAAGGCCUUCGGGUUGUAAACUGCUUUUGUACGGAACGAAAAGCCUCUUUCUAAUAAAGAGAGGUCAUGACGGUACCGUAAGAAUAAGCACCGGCUAACUACGUA
rnacentral:rRNA from 1 species